AGGGAUAUGGUCGCCUCCACCU
rnacentral:siRNA from 1 species